UAAGUUUGAUGGCGACCGGCGCACGGGUGAGUAACACGUAUCCAACCUGCCGAUGACUCGGGGAUAGCCUUUCGAAAGAAAGAUUAAUACCCGAUGGCAUAGUUCUUCCGCAUGGUAGAACUAUUAAAGAAUUUCGGUCAUCGAUGGGGAUGCGUCCAUUAGGUUGUUGGCGGGGUAACGGCCCACCAAGCCUUCGAUGGAUAGGGGUUCUGAGAGGAAGGUCCCCCACAUUGGAACUGAGACACGGUCCAAACUCCUACGGGAGGCAGCAUG
rnacentral:rRNA from 1 species